rnacentral:rRNA from 1 species
UACGUAGGGGGCAAGCGUUGUCCGGAAUUAUUGGGCGUAAAGCGCGUGUAGGCGGCUCGGUAAGUCUGCUGUGAAAGUCCAGGGCUCAACCCUGGAAUGCCGGUGGAUACUGUCGAGCUCGAGUCCGGAAGAGGCGAGUGGAAUUCCUGGUGUAGCGGUGAAAUGCGCAGAUAUCAGGAGGGACCCCCAUUGCGAAGGCAGCUCGCUGGGACGGUACUGACGCUGAGACGCGAAAGCGUUGGGAGCAAACAGG